GAGAUAUUGUGACUUGGAGAGAUGGCCUUUUGUCCUUUGUUCUAUUACCAGUCAGAGGAUGGGGAGCACACCCGAGCCUGAGACAACAGCUCUGCUAAGUGCCCUUGAGAGGGCACGGUGGGGUCAGCACCAAAGUCAGACCACUAAAGAGAAAAAGAGAGAAAGACAGGAUUGCAGAGGAGAAAUGAGAAUGGCAGAAAAAAUAAUUUUUUAAGCCAAAAGGAAUCAGAGAAGAGCAGAAGUGCCUCUAGGAUAAAGCGUAGCAGGCAGUUAGGGAAAAAGGGCUGUUAACUACCUUGAAGCUCUGACUACAUUAGAAAGCCUCGCAAGACAGUCGUUGCUUGCACGGGCAGGUAGAGAACUUUUCCUGUCCAUUGUUCUUCUGAAUUAUAAAUCACUGACCUCUUUAUGAUUUCUAAAGGGAAAAUGACUUCAAGCUUCUUAGAGUUCCCCUAAGGCAUUCUCUAUAUUCAAUAUAAUAUGGGAAGCCCUGGGUUUGUCUUUGUAUGUUUCAUCUGCAGUGACCUGAAAUCUUCAUAACCCUCUUCCUUUCUCCACUUAUCAACUAAGGGGUGGUUGGCAAUAAGGAUGGGUGGGAGAGAAAAAAAAACAGAAUUUGAGGAGGAGAGCAUUUAAACCAUCAGACUGUGUGUUCUGUGACAUCAAAGACUGGCAACAUUCUAAAGGAAAAGCAGCUGUGAAGUCAUAAUUAUGUUCACUUCCCACUGGCAACUGGCAAGCCCUUUAUUUUUGUGCAUUCGGAACUCACCAAGAAUAAAUAAAGUCC
rnacentral:lncRNA from 1 species